CACGCCCUAAACGAUGUUCUCUCGCUUUUCGGAGUAUCGACCCUCUGAGAGGCUUAGCUAACGCGAUAAGAGAACCGCCUGGGAAGUACGAUCGCAAGAUUAAAACUCAAAGGAAUAGACGGGGACUCGCACAAGCAGUGGAUUAUGUGGUUUAAUUCGAUGGUAACCGAAGAACCUCACCAGGGUUAGAAAUCCAAGUGAAGAAUACAGAAAUGUAAACGUCCGCAAGGACUCUUGGACAGGUGA
rnacentral:rRNA from 1 species